GAUGAACGCUGGCGGCGUGCCUAAUACAUGUAAGUCGAGCGAAUGGAUUAAGAGCUUGCUCUUAUGAAGUUAGCGGCGGACGGGUGAGUAACACGUGGGUAACCUGCCCAUAAGACUGGGAUAACUCCGGGAAACCGGGGCUAAUACCGGAUAACAUUUUGAACCGCAUGGUUCGAAAUUGAAAGGCGGCUUCGGCUGUCACUUAUGGAUGGACCCGCGUCGCAUUAGCUAGUUGGUGAGGUAACGGCUCACCAAGGCAACGAUGCGUAGCCGACCUGAGAGGGUGAUAGGCCACACUGGGACUGAGACACGGCACAGACUCCGACGGGAGGCAGCAGUAGGGAAUCUUCCGCAAUGGACGAAAGUCUGACGGAGCAACGCCGCGUGAGUGAUGAAGGCUUUCGGGUCGUAAAACUCUGUUGUUAGGGAAGAACAAGUGCUAGUUGAAUAAGCUGGCACCUUGACGGUACCUAACCAGAAAGCCACGGCUAACUACGUGCCAGCCGCCGCCGUAA
rnacentral:rRNA from 1 species